rnacentral:rRNA from 1 species
UCAAGGAAGAAGAUUUGACGGUACUUGAGGGAUAAGCCCCGGCUAAUUCCGUGCCAGCAGCCGCGGUAAUACGGGAGUGGCAAGCGUUAUCCGGAAUUAUUGGGCGUAAAAGCGUCCGCAGGCGGCCUUGUAAGUCUGUCGUUAAAGCGUGGAGCUUAACUCCCUUUCAGCGAUGGAAACUACGAAGGCUUGAGUGUGGUAGGGGCAGAGGGAAUUCCCGGUGUAGCGGUGAAAAUGCGUAGAUAUCGGG